rnacentral:rRNA from 1 species
GAUUACCUACGGGAGGCAGCAGUGAGGAAUAUUGGUCAAUGGCCGAGAGGCUGAACCAGCCAAGUCGCGUGAGGGAUGACGGCCCUACGGGUUGUAAACCUCUUUUGUCGGGGAGCAAGACCCGCCUCGUGCAGGCGGAGCGAGAGUACCCGAAGAAAAAGCAUCGGCUAACUCCGUGCCAGCAGCCGCGGUAAUACGGAGGAUGCGAGCGUUAUCCGGAUUUAUUGGGUUUAAAGGGUGCGUAGGCGGAUUUUUAAGUCAGCGGUAAAAUGUCCGUGCUCAACCCGGGCCGGCCGUUGAAACUG